rnacentral:siRNA from 1 species
UUUUGAUAGCCUGAAGUUGAGA